rnacentral:rRNA from 1 species
UGGGGAAUAUUGGGCAAUGGGGGGAACCCUGACCCAGCAACGCCGCGUGAAGGAAGAAGGUUUUCGGAUUGUAAACUUCUGUCCUUGGUGAAGAGGAAGAGACGGUAGCCAAGGAGGAAGCCCCGGCUAACUACGUGCCAGCAGCCGCGGUAAUACGUAGGGGGCGAGCGUUGUCCGGAAUUACUGGCGUAAAGAGCACGUAGGCGGGACUUUAAGUCAGGUGUGAAAGACCGAGGCUCAACUUCGGGGUUGCACUUGAAACUGGAGUUCUUGAGGGCAGGAGAGGAAAGUGGAAUUCCUGGUGUAGCGGUGAAAUGCGUAGAAAUCAGGAGGAACACCGGUGGCGAAGGCGACUUUCUGGACUGACCCUGACGCUGAGGUGCGAAAGCGUGGGUAGCAAACAGG